rnacentral:rRNA from 1 species
ACCAGACUCCUACGGGAGGCAGCAGUGAGGAAUAUUGGUCAAUGGGCUUACGCCUGAACCAGCCAAGUCGCGUGAGGGAAGACUGCCCUAUGGGUUGUAAACCUCUUUUGUCAGGGAACAAAGGCGGGGACGUGUCCCCGGAUGAGUGUACCUGAAGAAAAAGCAUCGGCUAACUCCGUGCCAGCAGCCGCGGUAAUACGGAGGAUCCGAGCGUUAUCCGGAUUUAUUGGGUUUAAAGGGAGCGUAGGUGGAUUGUUAAGUCAGUUGUGAAAGUUUGCGGCUCAACCGUAAAAUUGCAGUUGAAACUGGCAGUCUUGAGUACAGUAGAGGUGGGCGGAAUUCGUGGUGUAGCGGUGAAAUGCUUAGAUAUCGCGCAGAACUCCGAUUGCGAAGGCAGCAUGCCGGCUCCACACUGACGCUGAGGCACGAAAGCGUGGGUAUCGAACAGGAUUAGAUACCCCAGUAAA